UAGAGAAGAGUGGAGUUGGCUAUGCUGGUGAAAGGGAUAACCCUAAACUUGCUUUUUUUGAUGUUGAAGCUGACCCGCUUUAUAUGAAUUUCUUGGCUAACACUAAGCUAGAUGGAACAUCAUAUGUUUCUAAAGUUAAUGAUCAGAAUGGGUUGACAGUGUUCAUCAAGUAUGAGAGAGAUAGGGAGUUGGAGUUUCAUGGGGUUGAAAGGGGUCAGGAUAAUG
rnacentral:misc_RNA from 1 species